rnacentral:rRNA from 1 species
UGUAAGCGUAUACCAAAGUUGUUGCAGUUAAAACGCUCGUAGUCGGAAUUUGGCAGUUCCGGAAGUGUGCACGUCGUGUGCGCACUUUGCGGGGACUGCUUCUGUGGUCUUGCGUAGGAUGAGGCACUUUCAUUAGUGAACGUCCUCACGCAACCACUCUUUACUGUGAGAAAAUCAGAGUGCUCAAAGCAGGCAUUUGCCGUGAAUGUAUUAGCAUGGAAUAAUAGAAUAGGACUCGGUUCUAUUUUGUUGGUUUGUUGGGACUGAGUAAUGAUUAAGAGGGACAGUUGGGGGCAUUUGUAUUCCGGCGCUAGAGGUGAAAUUCUUAGAUUGCCGGAAGACAAACUGCUGCGAAAGCGUCUGCCAAGGAUGUUUUCAUUGA